AUGGCCCCCGUCCGGCUCGCCCUCCUCCUCGCCGUCCUGCUCGGGCCCGGCGGCGGCUGCGAGGGGGUGUACAUCCCCUACAACACGUCGGCGGGGGUGGUGGACGGGAAGCUGAACGUGCACGUCGUCCCCCACACCCAUGACGACGUCGGUUGGCUCAAGACCGUCGACCAGUACUACGUCGGCUCCAACAACUCCAUCCAGGUCGCGUGCGUUCAGAACGUGCUGGAUUCGCUCGUGCCGGCGCUGCUCAAGGACGAGAACCGCAAGUUCAUCUACGUCGAGCAGGCGUUUUUCCAGAGAUGGUGGAGGCAGCAGAGCGACAGUAUCAAGGAUACGGUGAAGGGGCUCGUCAGCUCCGGACAGUUGGAAUUCAUAAAUGGGGGCAUGUGCAUGCACGACGAGGCGACCGUGCACUACAUUGACAUGAUUGAUCAAACCACGCUGGGGCACAGAUUCAUCAAGGAGGAGUUCGGCCAGAUCCCAAGGAUCGGCUGGCAGAUUGAUCCGUUUGGGCACUCUGCAGUUCAGGCCUACCUCCUCGGCGCACAGGUAGGAUUUGAUGCCUUGUAUUUCUCCCGGAUUGAUUACCAAGAUCACAAAAGGAGGAAGGGGACCAAAGAGCUUGAGGUCGUAUGGAGGAGCUCUAAGACCUUUGGCUCAUCAGCUGAUAUUUUUACUGGUAUCUUCCCAGGUGGUUAUGAACCACCAACUGGUGAGUUUUAUUUUGAGAUUGGUGCUGAGUCCCCUGUUGUCCAGGAUGAUCCCCUUCUUUUUGAUUACAAUGUUGAAGAACGGGUGAAUGCUUUUGUUGCUGCAGCGCUGGCACAGGCAAAUAUCACAAGGACAAACCAUAUCAUGUUUACAAUGGGAACAGACUUCAAAUAUCAAUACGCAGAAAGUUGGUUCAGACAGAUGGAUAGAUUAAUUCAUUAUGUGAACAAGGAUGGCCGUGUGAAUGCUCUGUACUCCACACCUUCCAUUUACACUGAUGCAAAAUUUUCUGCAAAUGAGCCAUGGCCUCUCAAGACAAACGAUUUCUUUCCAUAUGCAGAUAGGCGCAAUGCAUACUGGACAGGUUACUUCACAAGCAGACCCGCCUUAAAACGAUAUGUCCGCAUCAUGAGUGGAUAUUACUUGGCAGCUAGGCAGCUGGAGUUCUUCAUUGGGAGAGGCAAGUCAGGUUUCACAACAGAUAGUUUAGGAGAUGCUCUAGCUCUUGUCCAGCACCAUGAUGCUGUUACAGGAACAGAGAAGCAACACGUUGCAGAUGAUUAUGCGAAGAGACUAUCGAUUGGCUAUAAGAAAGCGGAGGAACUGGUUUCGACUUCUCUUGCUUGCUUGAGUGAGUCAGGCUCAAAUUCUCGUUGUUCGUCCCCAACGACAAAUUUUGGGCAGUGUCCUCUCCUGAAUAUUACAUAUUGUCCCCUUUCCGAGAAGAACUUUUCUCAAGGCAAAAGCUUGGUUGUUCUUGUGUACAACUCUCUUGGAUGGGAACGAGAGGAUGUCCUCCGCAUACCAGUCAUGAGUGACUCAAUUGUUGUUCAUGAUUCUAAGGGAAGAGAAAUUGAAUCGCAACUUCUGCCAAUAGCUAAUGCCUCAUCGUACCUACGGGACAAACAUGUCAAAGCUUAUUUGGGCACAUCGCCUGCUUCAAAACCUAAGUUUUGGGUUGCCUUUUCUGCUUCGGUACCACCACUUGGUUUUAACACUUAUUUUGUUUCGAGCGGAAAGAGAUCAGCAUCUAUCUCUUCGCCAUCCACUCUAUACCCUCAGGGAAGUAAAAGUAGGAAUCUGCAAGUUGGGCAAGGGCAUUUGAAACUUCAAUAUGAUGCAGCUGGAGCAUUAUCCCGGUACUCCGAUAGCAAGACUCGGGUUGAAGAAAAUUUCAAGCAGAAGUACAAGUAUUACAUAGGACAAGAUCAUGGAGAUGGAGAUGAUCCUCAGGCUUCAGGAGCAUACAUAUUUCGCCCCAACGGUUCCGUUCCUAUCAAAACUGAUGGUCAGGUUCCUCCCACGAUUCUGCGCGGGCCCAUAUUGGAUGAAGUGCAUCAGCAGAUUAAUUCAUGGAUAUACCAGAUCACUAGAGUUUACAAGGAAAAGGACUAUGUGGAAACCGAGUUCAUAAUUGGACCAAUACCAGUAGACGAUGGAAAUGGAAAAGAACUAUCAACUGAAAUUAUUACUAGCAUGGCAACAGACAGAACAUUUUAUACCGAUUCCAGUGGACGUGAUUUCAUCAAAAGGGUACGGGAUUAUCGCUCAGAGUGGAAGAUUGAAGUAAACCAACCCAUUGCAGGAAACUAUUAUCCGGUUAAUCUUGGAAUUUAUGUGGAAGAUGGCACCAAAGAGUUGUCUGUACUCGUAGACAGGUCUGUUGGAGGUUCUAGCAUAAAGGAUGGACAAAUAGAGCUAAUGCUACACAGGAGGCUAGUCCAUGAUGAUGGCCGCGGUGUUGCGGAAGCAUUAGAUGAAGAAGUAUGUUUGGAUGAUCAAUGUGAAGGACUAGUUAUUGAAGGAAAAUACUAUCUCAAAAUUGACCCACAAGGAGACGGAGCUAGGUGGCGUCGUACAUUUGGUCAGGAACUGUACUCCCCUCUUCUUCUUGCGUUUUCAGAGCAAGAGCAGGAUGGAAGCAACUGGGUGAAUUCGCAUGUUUCAUCAUUCUCUGCAAUGGAUCCAACUUACAGCUUUCCUGAAAAUAUCGCGUUGCUUACUCUCCAGGAGCUUGAAGAUGGAAGUGUUCUUCUUCGGUUGGCUCACCUAUACGAGGCUGGAGAGCAUAAGGAUCUCUCAGUUCCGGCGAGGGUCGACCUCAAGAGGGUAUUCCCAAAUAAAAAGAUUGACAAGAUCAGUGAGACAAACCUAUCGGCAAACCAAGAGCGCGCUGCCAUGGAGAAGAAGAGGCUGAAGUGGAAGGUUGGAGGGCCUCCCCCAAAGGAAAAUGUGGUCCGUGGACGUCCCGUGGAUCCUUCCAAGCUCCUCGUCGAGCUGGCACCCAUGGAGAUCCGCACAUUUGUCAUUAGCUUUGACCACCGACUCGCCGAACAUCUCGGCUAA
rnacentral:rRNA from 1 species